rnacentral:misc_RNA from 1 species
AACCUUUGACAUGUCCAGUAUGGGCCUGAGAGAUCGGGUCCUUCAGUUCGGCUGGCCGGAACACAGGUGCUGCAUGGCUGUCGUCAGCUCGUGUCGUGAGAUGUUGGGUUAAGUCCCGCAACGAGCGCAACCCUCGCCCCUAGUUGCCAUCAUUCAGUUGGGCACUCUAGGGGGACUGCCGGUGAUAAGCCGAGAGGAAGGUGGGGAUGACGUCAGUGCU